UCCAGCUCCAAUAGCGUAUAUUAAAGUUGUUGUGGUUAAAAAGCUCGUAGUUGAACCUUGGGCCUGGCUGGCCGGUCCGCCUCACCGCGUGUACUGGUCCGGCCGGGCCUUUCCCUCUGUGGAACCCCAUGCCCUUCACUGGGUGUGGCGGGGAAACAGGACUUUUACUGUGAAAAAAUUAGAGUGCUCCAGGCAGGCCUAUGCUCGAAUACAUUAGCAUGGAAUAAUAGAAUAGGACGUGUGGUUCUAUUUUGUUGGUUUCUAGGACCGCCGUAAUGAUUAAUAGGGACAGUCGGGGGCAUCAGUAUUCAAUUGUCAGAGGUGAAAUUCUUGGAUUUAUUGAAGACUAACUACUGCGAAAGCAUUUGCCAAGGAUGUUUUCAUUAAUCAGGAACGAAAGUUAGGGGAUCGAAGACGAUCAGAUACCGUCGUAGUCUUAACCAUAAACUAUGCCGACUAGGGAUCGGACGGUGUUAUUUUUUGACCCGUUCGGCACCUUACGAGAAAUCAAAGUGCUUGGGCUCCAGGGGGAGUAUGGUCGCAAGGCUGAAACUUAAAGAAAUUGACGGAAGGGCACCACCAGGGGUGGAGCCUGCGGCUUAAUUUGACUCAACACGGGGAAACUCACCAGGUCCAGACACAAUGAGGAUUGACAGAUUGAGAGCUCUUUCUUGAUUUUGUGGGUGGUGGUGCAUGGCCGUUCUUAGUUGGUGGAGUGAUUUGUCUGCUUAAUUGCGAUAACGAACGAGACCUUAACCUGCUAAAUAGCCCGUAUUGCUUUGGCAGUACGCUGGCUUCUUAGAGGGACUAUCGGCUCAAGCCGAUGGAAGUUUGAGGCAAUAACAGCU
rnacentral:rRNA from 1 species